rnacentral:rRNA from 1 species
UCCGUGGCUACGAGGACGAACGCUGGCGGCGUGCUUAACACAUGCAAGUCGAACGAUGAAGCUAGAGCUUGCUCUGGUGAAUUAGUGGCGAACGGGUGAGUAACACGUGAGUAACCUGCCCCGAACUCUGGGAUAACUGCUGGAAACGGUAGCUAAUACUGGAUACGACCUACGAAGGCAUCUUCUGUAGGUGGAAAGAAUUUCGGUUCGGGAUGGACUCGCGGCCUAUCAGCUUGUUGGUGAGGGUAAUGGCUCACCAAGGCGACGACGGGUAGCCGGCCUGAGAGGGUGACCGGCCACACUGGGACUGAGACACGGCCCAGACUCCUACGGGAGGCAGCAGUGGGGAAUAUUGCACAAUGGGCGCAAGCCUGAUGCAGCAACGCCGCGUGAGGGAUGACGGCCUUCGGGUUGUAAACCUCUUUUAGUAGGGAAGAAGCGAAAGUGACGGUACCUGCAGAAAAAGCACCGGCUAACUACGUG